CCCGUCCAACCCACAAUCCACGAUCCUUUUUCUUCGUCCAUGAUCUCUGCCUUUUUAUACCCCAUAUUUAGUAGAUUCAAUACAUAAAUUUUUUCAAUCGAUCGCAAAAAGUAUGAUCAUCCUCCUCCUCGGUUCAAAAUCCUAAUUACAGAGCGAGAGAAACAUAGAUAUUGAAGAUGAUAUAAUCAAAAUUCUUAGACAGAAUUACGAGAGGGAGUAAUGAAUAAUAAUCUUCGCACAUUCAUUCAUUUUGAUUAUGGGGGAAAUUAUUUAAACAAUGGAGAUGAAAUACAACGGAUUUCAAGAGAAGAUGUUAGGCAUGCUCUUUUGAUGAAAGCACCUAUUGAGCAGGUUACUUAUUUUGCAUUGGUUGAUAAAAUAUGCAAAAAGAUGAUGGUAGCUGCAGGGACGAAGAUGAAGUUUAGCUACAUUCCAGUUUCAGUGAAUCCUAAAAAACCAAUAUAUAUAUCUUUGGUGAUGAUGAUCUUUUGUGUUAUCUAGAAUGGAAUCAAGCUGAAUUUGAUGUAAUGCAUGUGGAGCUGGAUAAAGAUGACGAACAACAUCAAGGGUGUGAGAAAAAUGGAGUUGGUGAAGCUUGUGAAGCUGGUGAAACGUGUGAAGCUGGUGGUGAAGCUUGUGAAGAUGGUCAAGUUGCAGAAACUGGUAGAAAGAAGAGAAAAACUACUACUGGAAGCUUGUUUGAUGUUUUCCGUGAUUAAUUUCUAUGUCACUGAUGUUCGUAACAGUUUUUGGUUGUAA